GACGAACGCUGGCGGCAUGCCUAAUACAUGCAAGUCGAGCGAACAGAUGAAGUGCUUGCACUUCUGACGUUAGCGGCGAACGGGUGAGUAACACGUAAGGAAUCUACCUAUAAGCGGGGGAUAACAUUCGGAAACGGGUGCUAAUACCGCAUAAUAUCUUCUUCCGCAUGGAAGAAGAUUGAAAGACGGCUCUGCUGUCACUUAUAGAUGACCUUGUGGUGCAUUAGUUAGUUGGUGGGGUAAUGGCCUACCAAGACGAUGAUGCAUAGCCGACCUGAGAGGGUGAUCGGCCAAAUUGGGACUGAGACACGGCCCAAACUCCUACGGGAGGCAGCAGUAGGGAAUCUUCCGCAAUGGGCGAAAGCCUGACGGAGCAAUGCCGCGUGAGUGAAGAAGGCCUUCGGGUCGUAAAACUCUGUUAUAAGAGAAGAACAAAUUGUAGAGUAACUGCUACAGUAUUGACGGUAUCUUAUCAGAAAGCCACGGCUAACUACGUGCCAGCCGCCGCAGUAA
rnacentral:rRNA from 1 species